CUUCCCUACCCGACGGUCUUCGGAUCCCCCACUACCAGAAAUUAUGCAGUCGAGAUUCCCACAUUUGGGGAAUUCGCAGGGGUCAGCACAACCGAAGUGCAAUGGCUGAGCCUCGCCCUGGGUGAACCACCUUCUUGAUCAUGGUGUCUCCCCUGCCAGGUAAGUAUGAGUUCCACACGCGCCCUGUAGAGGGGACACUUGAGGGAACAUCAUUCUCAAAGAGGGUGAGGAGUCACUUCACUACAUAUGGUUCAUCAUGGUGAUCUAUUCUAAAUCCUCAAUCUAUACUCUAAACUCUGGAUCUUGUUAAAUCAUCAGUCAUGUCAUUUUUACAGUCUAUGCUGACUGUUUACAAUUAGACCUUCUGGUUGGUCUACAUUCACUGUACA